AUAAUAGUAUAUUUAGUACAAGUUAUGUAUGCAUUUCGGGAAAAUCACAAAUGUAUAUGAUUAGCCAAUGUUUGCGGUGUGACGGUCGUGUCUCGUUACAAUGCUAAUGAAAUUUCAAGAUGUUUUACGUCACACGUACGAUAUGGACACAAAAGAUAUUUACGCAGGUAUACGAGAGUCAAAGACGCAUAAACGCGCGUAUUCGUAUACGCGUCUUUUCAAAUGAUUUACGCGUUAUGUGGCGCGACCGGAGCAACGUUUAUACCUUACCAAGGGCCGUAGACAAAAUAUCAGCGGUAAAUGGAUGAUACUCGGAAUCCGCUGUUUAACUCGUGGAAAUUGAAGCUGAUAACCGUACAGUU
rnacentral:misc_RNA from 1 species